rnacentral:lncRNA from 1 species
AAGUAAAAAGUCACUCUAUAUAGGAGCGGCAGUGGAAAGUUCAGCACAGAAAAUGUUUUAUUUCAUGUACCAUUAAUGUGGCUUAUCAUCUGCUCCUGUUUUGUCUUGUGGGCAUGCAU